rnacentral:lncRNA from 1 species
UAUCUUUUGCAUAAGUGUUGCAAAAUAGUCCCUAACUUAAAAGAUGUCAGAAAUCAUGCUUAAAGUGUCCAUGCAUUGCAAAGGUUGUGCCUAGCACGAUUUCUGGCAGCGCAGAUUCCUCCUUGGAUUCCUUGUCAUCUUUUGAUUCCUCUGGUUUUUUCUCUUCUUCUUUCUUUUCUUCUUCAUUUGCUUUUUUCUC